CAACGCCCAUGCAAUUGUAACCAAUAUAAAGUGAGACGGACUUUCAUUUAGCAAAAAGUCUCGGAACACAAAGCGCAAAGAUUUACACAACAGUUCGGUUUCUCAUAAAACAGAAAAAGGCAAGGAGCAAAAUAUAUCUGACUACUGGAGACUUAAACAACUGCAGCUGAAUUAUUCUUUCUUCCGUUAUGCAAAUUAAUAUUAAAAUGUAUAUAUUUCUUUCUUCGUUUGCCGUUACGUUAUGUACAGUGACUGAUGCUUGGUUAACUAAAUAUGAUUUUAAUGGUGAUUAUAGUGACCAUAAAUGGAAUAGCCAGGUGAGUCCUCCGUGUAUAAAAGCUAAUGAAGAGUGUUUCUAUACAAACCAGUGUUGUAGCAGAAAUGAUGUUUGUGUUAUGGAUUCAAAACUUUCAUUGUAUGCUGGAAGGAAAAUUGGACUUUGUCGAGAUCUUGAAUAUAUUCGAGGAGAUGUCCAGCCAUCUAAAUUUGAAGGAGAGGCCUGUGAGGACAGCUCCGAUUGCAUUGAUGGAUGCUGCAUAUCAAUUAGACGACACAGAUACGGUGUUCUACAAGUUUGUGCACGGGAAAACGGUCCUUUUAUGUGCAUCACGUCUUAUCGUCAGUUUGCCGAUGGAUUAUCGAAAAAGUAAAAUAGCUAAUGUGUUUAAAAAAGUCUUCAGUUUGUUUGUUGUUUUGUUAAAUAUUUUUAAGAAAUAAGGAAGUAUUUAGGAUAACGAAGCAUGAAAACCUUUCAACUAAUAGUUUUAAGGUUUAAAUCCGAGUUAACACUAAUUAGUGAUAAAACGUUUGUGUUACAGGAAUAUACAAAAGACUAAGCAACCAGAAACUUCUUAUGUACAUUUCUACAUGUAAAAACCGAUCUUGAUUUUGCUUUUCCAUCAAGAGCAUCCGACAUAUAUUUCCAUUUACUUAUUCUUGAAUACAAAGGAUUUGCUGAUUGUAGUAAUGGUAUGCACUUUUAAAUGGUAUAAUAAAAUAAACAAAUCUCAA